rnacentral:rRNA from 1 species
CCUACGGGUGGCAGCAGUGAGGAAUAUUGGUCAAUGGACGGAAGUCUGAACCAGCCAUGCCGCGUGCAGGAAGACGGCUCUAUGAGUUGUAACCUGCUUUUGUACAAUGGUAAACCUGAAUACGUGUAUUCAGCUGAAAUUCCUUUACGAAUAAGGAUCGGUUACCUCCGUCCCACCAGCGCCGUUAGUCAGGAGGAUCCAAGCUUUUACCGGCUUUAUUGGGUUAAAGGGUUGCUUAGGCGGAUGGAUAAUUUACGGGUAAAUGGUCCGGGUUUAAGUCGGGAAGUGCCUCUAAUACUGUUGAUCUGGAGAGUAGAUGCGGUAGGAGGAAUGUGUGGUGUAGCGGUGAAAUGCUUAGAGAUCAUACAGAACACCGAUUGCGAAGGCAGCUUACGAAUCUAUAUCUGACGUUGAGGCACGAAAGCGUGGGGAGCAAACAGGAUUAGAUACCCGAGUAGUC